GACAGAGGUGCCGAGCGUUAGGCGGAAUCACUGGGCUUAAAGCGUGUGUAGGCGGGCGGGCAAGUACCUUGUGAAAUCCCUGGGCUCAACCCAGGGCCUGCAUCGGAAACUGUCGGGCUUGAGUAUGGGAGAGGUGAGUGGAAUUUCCGGUGUAGCGGUGAAAUGCGUAGAUAUCGGAAGGAACACCUGUGGCGAAAGCGGCUCACUGGACCAUUACUGACGCUGAGGCACGAAAGCUAGGGGAGCAAACAGG
rnacentral:rRNA from 1 species